GUUAAAUAUGUAAGAAUUGCCUUAUCUCUGUGUAUCUUCCACAGCGCAAGGGAGCAUCCAUGUGGCAUACAGCUGUUGCACAUGCUGUGAUUGGAUGCUUUGUCCACUGAAGCUAGGCUGGAACAGGAUUGCCACUGGAGGAUGGUGAGAAAGAGGCUGUGUCCUCCUCAUGUCAGUUACAUCUUCAGAUGCUCAGCUGUCUAAUAGGAUCAGUAACAGCACAGCACAUUGCCAAGCCACAUGGAAGGAUGAAGCAAAAGAAAAUCUCAAUGGUGUCAGAAGUGGAA
rnacentral:lncRNA from 1 species